rnacentral:rRNA from 1 species
GACGAACGCUGGCGGCGUGCUUAACACAUGCAAGUCGAACGAAAAGAGGGGAAGAGCUUGCUCUUUUCAGAAUUGAGUGGCAAACGGGUGAGUAACACGUAAACAACCUGCCUUCAGGAUGGGGACAACAGACGGAAACGACUGCUAAUACCGAAUAAGUUCCAAGAGCCGCAUGGCCCAUGGAAGAAAAGGUGGCCUCUACCUGUAAGCUAUCGCCUGAAGAGGGGUUUGCGUCUGAUUAGCUGGUUGGAGGGGUAACGGCCCACCAAGGCGACGAUCAGUAGCCGGUCUGAGAGGAUGAACGGCCACACUGGAACUGAGACACGGUCCAGACUCCUACGGGAGGCAGCAGUGGGGAAUCUUCCGCAAUGGGCGAAAGCCUGACGGAGCAACGCCGCGUGAGUGAUGACGGCCUUCGGGUUGUAAAACUCUGUGAUCCGGGACGAAAAGGCAGAGUGCGAAGAACAAACUGCA